AUAUAAGAGGUUCAUCCUGCUCUAUGAUAUUAAUUAAAUGGCCGCGGUAUCCUGACCGUGCAAAGGUAGCAUAAUCAUUUGCCUCCUAAUUAGAGGCUAGUAUGAAUGGACUCACGAAAUCUUAACUGUCUCUGUAAAUUAAAUAAAAAUUUAUCUCUAAGUGAAGAAUCUUAGAUAUACUUGAAAGACAAGAAGACCCUAAUGAGCUUUAAUUUUUCAUACUACUAUUAUUUUAAACCUAGGUUAUUAACUAGUAAACAAAAAAUUUUUGUUGGGGCGACAUAAGAAACUAAGUUUCAUCUUUUAAUUAAAUACGAGUAGUAUCUCUAUAUAAUUGACCUAAUUUUAUUAAUCAAUAGCAAUAGCUACCAUAGGGAUAACAGACUAAUUUUUCUCUAGAGCUCAAAUUCACAGAAAAGAUUGGCACCUCGAUGUUGGCUUAGAGGCCCCUAGUGAUGCAGCAGUCACAAAAGGUGGGUUUGUUCAACCCUUAAAA
rnacentral:rRNA from 1 species